GCCUCUGUGGAUUAGGGAAAUGACUUCGUUUCCAUUAACAGUCGCCUCAAAUUGACUGGGGAGACGUGGGUUCAAUUCCCACCAGAGGCA